rnacentral:rRNA from 1 species
ACGAGUGGCGAACGGGUGAGUAACACGUGGGUGACCUGCCCUGCACUUCGGGAUAAGCCUGGGAAACUGGGUCUAAUACCGGAUAGGACCGCACNGUGAGGGUGUGGUGGAAAGUUUUUUCGGUGUGGGAUGGGCCCGCGGCCUAUCAGCUUGUUGGUGGGGUAAUGGCCUACCAAGGCGGCGACGGGUAGCCGGCCUGAGAGGGUGGACGGCCACAUUGGGACUGAGACACGGCCCAGACUCCUACGGGAGGCAGCAGUGGGGAAUAUUGCACAAUGGGCGGAAGCCUGAUGCAGCGACGCCGCGUGGGGGAUGACGGCCUUCGGGUUGUAAACUCCUUUCACCAUCGACGAAGGGUUUCUGACGGUAGAUGGAGAAGAAGCACCGGCUAACUACGUGCCAGCAGCCGCGGUAAUACGUAGGGUGCGAGCGUUGUCCGGAAUUACUGGGCGUAAAGAGCUCGUAGGUGGUUUGUCGCGUCGUCUGUGAAAUUCCGGGGCUUAACUCCGGGCGUGCAGGCGAUACGGGCAUAACUUGAGUACUGUAGGGGAGACUGGAAUUCCUGGUGUAGCGGUGAAAUGCGCAGAUAUCAGGAGGAACACCGGUGGCGAAGGCGGGUCUCUGGGCAGUAACUGACGCUGAGGAGCGAAAGCAUGGGGAGCGAACAGGAUUAGAUACCCUGGUAGUCCAUGCCGUAAACGGUGGGCGCUAGGUGUGGGUUUCCUUCCACGGGAUCCGUGCCGUAGCUAACGCAUUAAGCGCCCCGCCUGGGGAGUACGGCCGCAAGGCUAAAACUCAAAGGAAUUGACGGGGGCCCGCACAAGCGGCGGAGCAUGUGGAUUAAUUCGAUGCAACGCGAAGAACCUUACCUGGGCUUGACAUAUACAGGAUCGCGCCAGAGAUGGUGUUUCCCUUGUGGCUUGUAUACAGGUGGUGCAUGGUUGUCGUCAGCUCGUGUCGUGAGAUGUUGGGUUAAGUCCCGCAACGAGCGCAACCCUUGUCUUAUGUUGCCAGCACGUUGUGGUGGGGACUCGUAAGAAACUGCCGGGGUUAACUCGGAGGAAGGUGGGGAUGACGUCAAAUCAUCAUGCCCCUUAUGUCCAGGGCUUCACACAUGCUACAAUGGUCGGUACAGUGGGUUGCCAGUCCGUGAGGGCGAGCUAAUCCCGCAAAGCCGGUCUCAGUUCGGAUCGGGGUCUGCAACUCGACCCCGUGAAGUCNGAGUCGCUAGUAAUCGCAGAUCAGCAACGCUGCGGUGAAUACGUUCCCGGGCCUUGUACACACCGCCCGUCACGUCAUGAAAGUCGGUAACACCCGAAGCCAGUGGC